rnacentral:rRNA from 2 species
CCGGUCCCAUUCCGAACCCGGAAGCUAAGCCCUUCAGCGCCGAUGGUACUGCACUCGCCAGGGUGUGGGAGAGUAGGACGCCGCCGGAC